GCGGCAGCUUACACAUGCAAGUCGAGCGGUAACAGGGGGUGCUUGCACCCCGCUGACGAGCGGCGGACGGGUGAGUAAUGCAUAGGAAUCUGCCCAGUAGUGGGGGAUAGCCCGGGGAAACCCGGAUUAAUACCGCAUACGCCCUUUGGGGGAAAGCAGGGGAUCUUCGGACCUUGCGCUAUUGGAUGAGCCUAUGUCGGAUUAGCUAGUUGGUGGGGUAAAGGCCUACCAAGGCGACGAUCCGUAGCUGGUCUGAGAGGAUGAUCAGCCACAUCGGGACUGAGACACGGCCCGAACUCCUACGGGAGGCAGCAGUGGGGAAUAUUGGACAAUGGGGGCAACCCUGAUCCAGCCAUGCCGCGUGUGUGAAGAAGGCUUUCGGGUUGUAAAGCACUUUCAGUGAGGAGGAAAACCUUCUGGUUAAUACCCAUGAGGCUUGACGUUACUCACAGAAGAAGCACCGGCUAACUCCGUGCCAGCAGCCGCGGUAAUACGGAGGGUGCAAGCGUUAAUCGGAAUUACUGGGCGUAAAGCGCGCGUAGGUGGUUUGAUAAGCGAGAUGUGAAAGCCCCGGGCUUAACCUGGGAACGGCAUU
rnacentral:rRNA from 1 species